AUUUUAUUGUGAAAUAAUAGUUAAAUGCUGUGAAAUCCAAGGAUACAGUCCUUUUUACAUGUAUUUGUUGGGAUAUUACAGGGGGCCUUGAUUACAAUAUGUCACUGUAAAAUGAUACUGUUAAAUGUAGUGAAAUGCUGGUACAUUUUUACAGUGUACACGGGAGCAAAC